rnacentral:rRNA from 1 species
UACGUAGGGGGCAAGCGUUGUCCGGAUUUAUUGGGCGUAAAGAGCGUGUAGGCGGCCAUACAGGUCCGUUGUGAAAACUCGAGGCUCAACCUCGAGACGUCGAUGGAAACCGUAUGGCUAGAGUCCGGAAGAGGAGAGUGGAAUUCCUGGUGUAGCGGUGAAAUGCGCAGAUAUCGUCAAGAACACCUAUAGCGAAGGCAGCUUACUAGGCUGUAACGGACGCUGAGGCACGAAAGUGUGGGGAUCAAACAGG